rnacentral:lncRNA from 1 species
CAAAAAAUAUUUUUAACACUGAUUUUGAGUUCUUUGGGGUAUUUUUAGGUACUUGAAACUUGUUUUAAUCUCCAAUGGAAAAUUCAAGAAACUCGGAGACCGCUAGUAGGCACAGUUGAAAGCUUAGCGUUUCGAACAUCGAUUCGAGUAAGAAUCCCUCACCUUAUUCCAUGUUAUGGAAUUGAAGUUUAAUUAUAAAUAAU